rnacentral:rRNA from 1 species
AUUGAACGCUGGCGGCAGGCCUAACACAUGCAAGUCGAACGAGUGGCGGACGGGUGAGUAAUGUCUGGGAAACUGCCCGAUGGAGGGGGAUAACUACUGGAAACGGUAGCUAAUACCGCAUACCAUCGGAUGUGCCCAGAUGGGAUUAGCUUGUAGGUGAGGUAACGGCUCACCUAGGCGCCGAUCCCUAGCUGGUCUGAGAGGAUGACCAGCAACACUGGCACUGCGACACGGUCCGGACGCCUGUGGCAGGCAGCAGUGGGGAAUAUGGCACAAUGGGCGCAAGACUGAUGCAGCCAGGACGGGUGUAUGAAGAGGGCCUUCGGGUUGUAAAGUACUUUCAGCGGGGAGGCGUGACCCACAGAAGAAGCACCGGCUAACUCCGUGCCAGCAGCCGCGGUAAUUC